AGAAGAGUCUGAUGAUUUUGAUGGGGAUCCUUUUGUCCCCAAUGAUUUCGCCGAGGACGAUUCUUUCCAAGCUUCAGAGGAAGGUUCAAUGGAUGAUCCUGAUUUUGACAAAGCUUUGUAUGAUUUCUAUGUGUCGCAUGUAAGCAUGUUAUUGUAAUUAUUGCAUUUUGUUCCAGUUUUCAUUUAUGUUUGUUUUUAUUGUAUAAUUCAUUGCCUGUUUAUAUAUCUUGCAAAAAGCGAAUUGCCUGAAACGGAAGAUAACAGAUGUUGGAGCUCGCAAUGUGGUAUUUAUGUUUCUUUGUUCUAUUCGCAUUUUCUGUACCCAACUACCACUCUGAUAGAGAUAGAUAUAAGUUUGAGAUA